rnacentral:tmRNA from 1 species
GGGGGCGAUUUAGUUUCGACAGAGUUUUAUUUAGAAAAUGUAAAGCAUGUGGCGAAUGUCCUGACGCCUAAAACUGGACGCUUAAAUAAACGCAGACAAAAAUGAUAAUGUUGUUUCAAUGAACGCUAUGCCUUGCGCUGCCUAGUUGAAACUAGCCUGAUUAGAGCAUAAUCUAAUUCGCCAUGUUUUGAGUUGCCGACAAAACUUUGGUGUUAAAUAGGCAAAACCUUUAUGCAAAGUUCUUCCUUAUAUGCAUAAAAAAUUUAAAGGAAUAGUUAUGAUAACUUGUUUGUGGGUGACAUCAUAAUGAAGUUUAAUCAUAAACUAAACAUGUAGAAAAGUUUUCUAAAAGAAUUUUGGACUCGGGAGCGUAACCCGACGCCUCCAC